rnacentral:rRNA from 1 species
UUUGAUUAUGGCUCAGGAUGAACGCUGGCGGCGUGCUUAACACAUGCAAGUCGAACGGACUCAUAUUGAAACCUAGUGAAGUAUGAGUUAGUGGCGGACGGGUGGGUAACGCGUGGAGAACCUGCCGUAUACUGGGGGAUAACACUUAGAAAUAGGUGCUAAUACCGCAUAAGCGCACAGUUUCGCAUGAAGCAGUGUGAAAAACUCCGGUGGUAUACGAUGGAUCCGCGUCUGAUUAGCUAGUUGGCGGGGUAAUGGCCCACCAAGGCGACGAUCAGUAGCCGGCCUGAGAGGGUGACCGGCCACAUUGGGACUGAGACACGGCCCAAACUCCUACGGGAGGCAGCAGUGGGGAAUAUUGCACAAUGGGGGAAACCCUGAUGCAGCGACGCCGCGUGAGUGAAGAAGUAUUUCGGUAUGUAAAGCUCUAUCAGCAGGGAAGAAAAUGACGGUACCUGACUAAGAAGCCCCGGCUAACUACGUGCCAGCAGCCGCGGUAAUACGUAGGGGGCAAGCGUUAUCCGGAUUUACUGGGUGUAAAGGGAGCGUAGACGGCAGCGCAAGUCUGAAGUGAAAUCCCGCAGCUUAACUGCGGAACUGCUUUGGAAACUGUGCAGCUGGAGUGCAGGAGAGGUAAGCGGAAUUCCUAGUGUAGCGGUGAAAUGCGUAGAUAUUAGGAGGAACACCAGUGGCGAAGGCGGCUUACUGGACUGUAACUGACGUUGAGGCUCGAAAGCGUGGGGAGCAAACAGGAUUAGAUACCCUGGUAGUCCACGCCGUAAACGAUGAUUACUAGGUGUUGGGGGACCAAGGUCCUUCGGUGCCGGCGCAAACGCAUUAAGUAAUCCACCUGGGGAGUACGUUCGCAAGAAUGCAACUCAAAUGAAUUGACGGA